GAUGAACGCUAGCGAUAGGCUUAACACAUGCAAGUCGAGGGGCAGCAUGGUCUUAGCUUGCUAAGGCUGAUGGCGACCGGCGCACGGGUGCGUAACGCGUAUGCAACUUGCCUCACAGAGGGGGAUAACCCGUCGAAAGACGGACUAAUACCGCGUACACUCUAUGUUGGGCAUCCAAUGUAGAGGAAAUGAAAUUCGCUGUGAGAUAGGCAUGCGUCCCAUUAGCUAGUUGGUGAGGUAACGGCUCACCAAGGCGACGAUGGGUAGGGGAACUGAGAGGUUGAACCCCCACACUGGUACUGAGACACGGACCAGACUCCUACGGGAGGCAGCAGUGAGGAAUAUUGGGCAAUGGGCGAGAGCCUGAACCAGCCAAGUCGCGUGAAGGAUGACUGUCUUAUGGAUUGUAAACUUCUUUUAUACGGGAAUAACAAGAGUCACGUGUGGCUCCCUGCAUGUACCGUAUGAAUAAGCAUCGGCUAACUCCGU
rnacentral:rRNA from 1 species